CAGAGGUGGCCAUACUUUCAGACAAAUGAAAAAAGCGGUUGCAAUGAGGUCUUCUGGUCAUAAUUUGUAUGAAUCAGCAGAACUCUGUAAGGUGCUAAAGAUUGGAAUAGUUAACAGCCUCACAGUCCAUCCCGUCUGGGUUUUCCCGAGAGGAGGCCUUUGAAACUCAAGGUGGGUGCUACCUAAAAGAAAACAACUGGAAAGAACACAAAGCUCCGAGUUUCAUUGGCAAACAUUAUUUCGGACUUUGGCCAUCAUGGCUAUUGAAAAAGUUGCCAUACAAGGCAGUGAGCUUGAGGCCAGCAGCUUCUAAGAGUGGGC